AUACGGAGGGUGCAAGCGUUAAUCGGAAUUACUGGGCGUAAAGCGCGCGUAGGCGGUUUGAUAAGUCGGAUGUGAAAUCCCCGGGCUCAACCUGGGAAUUGCAUUCGAUACUGUCAGGCUAGAGUGUGGUAGAGGGAAGUGGAAUUUCCGGUGUAGCGGUGAAAUGCGUAGAUAUCCGAAGGAACACCAGUGGCGAAGGCGGCUUCCUGGACCAACACUGACGCUGAGGUGCGAAAGCGUGGGGAGCAAACAGGAUUAGAUACCCUAGUAGUCC
rnacentral:rRNA from 1 species